rnacentral:rRNA from 1 species
UACGUAGGGGGCGAGCGUUGUCCGGAUUUAUUGGGCGUAAAGAGCUCGUAGGCGGUUUGGUAAGUCACGGGUGAAAUCUCCACGCUCAACGUGGAGGCGCCCCGUGAGACUGCUAUGACUAGAGUCCGGUAGAGGAGUGUGGAAUUCCCGGUGUAGCGGUGAAAUGCGUAGAUAUCAAGAGGAAUACCUGAGGUGAAGACGGGUUGCUAGGCCGACACUGACGCUGAAGCGCGAAAGCCAGGGGAGCAAACGGG